AGCGCUGAAGGUUGGUACUUGUACCGACUGGAUGAGCAGCGAACUGGUGAGUAACGCGUGGGGAAUCUGCCUUUGAGCGGGGGACUUCAUUUGGAAACGAAUGCUAAUACCGCAUAAAAACUUUAAACACAAGUUUUAAGUUUGAAAGAUGCAAUUGCAUCACCCAAAGAUGAUCCCGCGUUGUAUUAGCUAGGUGGGGGGGGAGAGGCUCACCAAGGCGAUGAUACAUAGCCGACCUGAGAGGGUGAUCGGCCACAUUGGGACUGAGACACGGCCCAAACUCCUACGGGAGGCAGCAGUAGGGAAUCUUCGGCAAUGGACGAAAGUCUGACCGAGCAACGCCGCGUGAGUGAAGAAGGUUUUCGGAUCGUAAAACUCUGUUGGUAGAGAAGAACGUUGGUGAGAGUGGAAAGCUCAUCAAGUGACGGUAACUACCCAGAAAGGGACGGCUAACUACGUGCCAGCAGCCGCGGUAAUACGUAGGUCCCGAGCGUUGUCCGGAUUUAUUGGGCGUAAAGCGAGCGCAGGUGGUUUAUUAAGUCUGGUGUAAAAGGCAGUGGGCUCAACCAUUGUAUGCAUUGGAAACUGGUAGACUUGAGUGCAGGAGAGGAGAGUGGAAUUCCAUGUGUAGCGGUGAAAUGCGUAGAUAUAUGG
rnacentral:rRNA from 1 species